CCCCUAAAAUCUGGAAGAAGGCAAGGAUGCCCACUCUUGCCACUUGUAUUUAACAUAAAACUGGAAGUCCUAGACCCAGAAAUCAGACAAGAAAAAGAAAUAAAAGAUAUCUAUUGCAAGGGAAGAAGUAAAUCAGUCAC